rnacentral:piRNA from 1 species
UGGUCUAAUAAAUUUUUGAAA